GUUGCACCCUUGCAUGGAUAUAAACUUGCUCAGCCGGUUAGGUUUCCUAUAGGAUAUUGUGGUCCGGACUCCUGUUCCAGGAUAUUUUAUCUGUUAGUUCGCAGCUGCUUGUGAUUAUUGUAGCGAUAUUCAUGCAGGUCUGCAAACUAAGUCUGUGACGUUUUGAGAAAGUGCUGUUUAAUAGCAUGAAACACGUAAACUUGGCUGACGGCAAAAUGGUUGAAGUAUUUAGCACAUUGCUGUACAAUGGAUAUUUUAAUCUUCAAUAAAGUUUGGAAUCGUUUUAAAUAAAAUACAGUGUGGAGCCCUCUGAAAAGCAAAAGAAAUUUUAAUUUAUAUUUCCUGGUAUAUUUUGCGGGAGAACCACGCUCCUGGCUGCAGGAUAUGGAAGAUACAAUAUAAUUGAAUCAAACAGCGGUACUGGCACAAUAGGGAGUACAUUUAAAUUACAGCUUUUUUUUGGUUACUGGUUUCAAUUUACAGGCUCCCUAAAAGUAGCAAAAUCCUACCUUUAUUCCAGUCUGCUCCUGCUGACUCACCCUUACCUGCCUGCUUGGCUGACAUCAUGAGAAGUGUUGAUAAUAGCCAAUCACAAUGCUUUCCUUUGGGAAAGCAUUGGAUUGGCUGAGCUUGUCAAGUAGGCAGAUCAAGGGCAGAGCCAGCACAAGCGAUACACAGCCCUGUCCAUUCAGCAUCUCCUCAUACAGAUGCAUUGAAUCAAUGCAUCUCUAUGAGGAAAGUUCAGUGUCUCCAUGCAGAGGGCGGAGACACUGAAUGUCAGUCACACUGUGCAGCACUGCCCCAGGAAGCCCCUUUAGCAGCCAUCUGAGGAGUUGCCAGUGAAGGUAUCCCCAGGCUGUAUUGUAAACACUGUUUUCUCUGAAAAGACAGUAUUUACUGCAAAAAGCCUGAAGG